rnacentral:rRNA from 1 species
UACCAGCACCCCGAGUGGUCGGGACGUUUUAUUGGGCCUAAAGCAUCCGUAGCCGGUUCUACAAGUCUUCCGUUAAAUCCAGCUGCUUAACAGAUGGGCUGCGGAAGAUACUAUGGAGCUAGGAGGCGGGAGAGGCAAGCGGUACUCGAUGGGUAGGGGUAAAAUCCGUUGAUCCAUUGAAGACCACCAGUGGCGAAGGCGGCUUGCCAGAACGCGCUCGACGGUGAGGGAUGAAAGCUGGGG